rnacentral:misc_RNA from 1 species
GUAUACAACGCUGAAGCGUUCUGCAAAUGAUAACUUGCAGAGGUUAUGUCAGCAUACGAAAUUUCCCGUGAAAGAUGUGUUGCGCGUUCAGCAUUGGUUAGAAGAAAUGAAGAGGAAGGAUUGGAAGCCAAACCGAAAUAGCACAUUGUGUUCAGCUCAUUUUACAAAUGAUUGCUUUGAUAGGACAGGAUUCCUAAUUACAUUGAAAAAGAACAGUGUACCAACUAUAUUUGACAACCCAAAAUCAGAGUGUUCAUCUUGUCACCGAUUAAAGGGAUAUGGACAUGGCUAUUCAUUCUUCAAGUUCCCAUUGGAUGAACCUGAUAUUAUGAAGCAAUGGAUCGCAAAUAUAAACAUUGGACCGUGGUCUCCAUCAAGUGAUAGCUUUCUGUGUUCCGACCACUUUGAACUCUCUUGCUUUCAGAAGAAAAGUAAAAAUUAUAUAACUUUACGAAAAGGCAGUAUCCCAACGUUAUUUGGUGAAAACUUGCAGCAGACCGAAUUUCAGGAUGAAUCCGAUCGGCCCACCACAGUGAAUGUAACCAAAUUACAUGAUCACCUACACAUUUGUACCUGAUUUGCAUGCUCAGCUCCACUUUGAUGAUCAAUGGAUGGUAAAUGGAUUCCCUAACGGUUGAAUUAGUGUUAUACAAAUUUUUGAAUAAUCCGUAUGGAAUUCAGCCCACCAUAGGAUAGAGGAUAAUGGACGGAAACUUCUUAGAAUUGAGGACUUCUUUUGAACAUGAAGAAAAAUCACGCUUAAAUACAAGUUUUUCGUCAU